GAUGAACGCUGGCGGCGUGCCUAAUACAUGCAAGUCGAGCGAACGGACGAGAAGCUUGCUUCUCUGAUGUUAGCGGCGGACGGGUGAGUAACGCGUGGAUAACCUACCUAUAAGACUUGGAUAACUUCGGGAAACCGGAGCUAAUACCGGAUAAUAUUUUGAACCGCAUGGUUCAAAAGUGAAAGACGGUCUUGCUGUCACUUAUAGAUGGAUCCGCGCUGCAUUAGCUAGUUGGUAAGGUAACGGCUUACCAAGGCAACGAUGCAUAGCCGACCUGAGAGGGUGAUCGGCCACACUGGAACUGAGACACGGUCCAGACUCCUACGGGAGGCAGCAGUAGGGAAUCUUCCGCAAUGGGCGAAAGCCUGACGGAGCAACGCCGCGUGAGUGAUGAAGGUCUUCGGAUCGUAAAACUCUGUUAUUAGGGAAGAACAUAUGUGUAAGUAACUGUGCACAUCUUGACGGUACCUAAUCAGAAAGCCACGGCUAACUACGUG
rnacentral:rRNA from 1 species